rfam:Arsenophonus symbiont of Lipoptena fortisetosa strain CB, complete genome.
GGGGCUGAAAUUUAAUGGAUUCGACGAAAUUUGCAAAACCCAAGGUGCAUGCCAAGGUACGGUUGGCCUUGUUAAAAAACCGUAAAAAAAUAGUCGCAAACGACAAUAACUACGCUCUAGCAGCUUAAUAACCUGGUUUCAGAGCCCUCAUUAAUCUAUAUUGCGCUCUUUAGAUAUGAUAAAAAUGAGGUCAUAAAAAUAAAGAGAUCACGUUUGGCACCUUAGUCUGAGGUUAAAACGUUGAAUUUUAAUAGACUAGUUUAUUAGUAGUAUGUCUAUCUACAGCUAAUUUAUGAAAUAUAAAGAUUAGACUAAGCAUGUAGUACUAAGGAUGUAGAAAUUUCGGACGCGGGUUCGACUCCCGCCAGCUCCAUUA